rnacentral:rRNA from 1 species
CGUGUAGGCGGGCGCGUAAGUCCGGUGUAAAAUCCCUCGGCUCAACCGAGGAAGGUCAUUGGAUACUGCGUGUCUGGAGUGCGGGAGAGGAGAGUGGAACUCUUGGUGGAGCGGUGAAAUGCGUAGAUAUCAAGAGGAACGCCGGUGGCGAAAGCGGCUCUCUGGCCCGUUACUGACGCUGAGGCGCGAAAGCUAGGGGAGCAAACG